rnacentral:rRNA from 1 species
GACGAACGCUGGCGGCGUGCCUAAUACAUGCAAGUUGAGCGCUGAAGGUUGGUACUUGUACCAACUGGAUGAGCAGCGAACGGGUGAGUAACGCGUGGGUAAUCUGCCUUUGAGCGGGGGACAACAUUUGGAAACGAAUGCUAAUACCGCAUAAAAACUUUAAACACAAGUUUUAAGUUUGAAAGAUGCAAUUGCAUCACUCAAAGAUGAUCCCGCGUUGUAUUAGCUAGUUGGUGAGGUAAAGGCUCACCAAGGCGAUGAUACAUAGCCGACCUGAGAGGGUGAUCGGCCACAUUGGGAAUGAGACACGGCCCAAACUCCUACGGGAGGCAGCAGUAGGGAAUCUUCGGCAAUGGACGAAAGUCUGACCGAGCAAAGCCGCGUGAGUGAAGAAGGUUUUCGGAUCGUAAAACUCUGUUGGUAGAGAAGAACGUUGGUGAGAGUGGAAAGCUCAUCAAGUGACGGUAACUACCCAGAAAGGGACGGCUAACUACGUG